rnacentral:rRNA from 1 species
AUUGAACGCUGGCGGCAGGCCUAACACAUGCAAGUCGAGCGAGCGGCGGACGGGUGAGUAAUGUAUGGGGACUGCCCGAUAGAGGGGGAUAACUACUGGAAACGGUGGCUAAUACCGCAUACUAUCGGAUAACCCAUAUGGGAUUAGCUAGUAGGUGGGGUAAAGGCUCACCAAGGCGACGAUCCCUAUCUGGUCUGAGAGGAUGAUCAGCCGCACUGGGACUGUGACACGGCCCAGACUCCUACGGAGGCAGCAGUGGGGAAUAUUGCACAAUGGGCGCAGGCCUGCUGCAGCCAUGCGGCGUGUAUGAAUAAGGCCUUAGGGUUGUAAAGUACUUUCAGCGGGGAGGCGUUACCCGCAGAAGAAGCACCGGCUAACUCCGUGCCAGCAGCCGCGGUAAUAC